UUCUUCAUGUGUUCAGUACUUUGUCCCUGUGUCGUUUCACAUAACUUAAUUUCUGUACUUAUUUGUUUUGAUUUCUUUAUAUGUGUGCAUUACUUGGGUUGCUACUGACAUCUGCUGAAAAUUUCAUGUCAGUAGCACUUUUAGAAAUAUAUUUACUGAGAAAAAUGAAAAAAAUGGCUGAUGU